CCCUUAGAUGAUUUGGGCUGCACGCGCGCUACACUGACCCUAACAAUGAGCAACUGUCUGGCCUGAGAUGGCUGGGUAGCCUUUUCAACCCAUGUCAUGAUUGGGCUAGAUUUUUGUAAGUCUUGAUCUCUAACGAGGAAUCCCUAGUAUGCGUGAAUCAUCAAUCUGCAUUGAUUACGUCCCUGCCCUUUGUACACACCGCCCGUCGCACCUACCGAUUGGAUGGUCCGGUGAAGCCUCGGGAUUGUGGUUCUUGCCGCUUUAUUGUGGCGUGACCGCGAGAACUUGUCUAAACCUUAUCAUCUAGAGGAAGGUGAAGUCGUAACA
rnacentral:rRNA from 1 species